UACAGAGGUCCCAAGCGUUGUUCGGAUUCACUGGGCGUAAAGGGUGCGUAGGUGGCCAGGUAAGUCUGAUGUGAAAUCUCGGAGCUCAACUCCGAAACUGCAUUGGAUACUAUCUGGCUGGAAGGUCGGAGGGGGGACUGGAAUUCUCGGUGUAGCAGUGAAAUGCGUAGAUAUCGAGAGGAACACCAGUGGCGAAGGCGAGUCCCUGGACGACUCCUGACACUGAGGCACGAAAGCUAGGGGAGCAAACAGG
rnacentral:rRNA from 1 species